rnacentral:rRNA from 1 species
GAGGACCGAACCGACUAAUGUUGAAAAAUUAGCGGAUGACUUGUGGCUGGGGGUGAAAGGCCAAUCAAACCGGGAGAUAGCUGGUUCUCCCCGAAAGCUAUUUAGGUAGCGCCUCGUGAAUUCAUCUCCGGGGGUAGAGCACUGUUUCGGCAAGGGGGUCAUCCCGACUUACCAACCCGAUGCAAACUGCGAAUACCGGAGAAUGUUAUCACGGGAGACACACGGCGGGUGCUAACGUCCGUCGUGAAGAGGGAAACAACCCAGACCGCCAGCUAAGGUCCCAAAGUCAUGGUUAAGUGGGAAACGAUGUGGGAAGGCCCAGACAGCCAGGAUGUUGGCUUAGAAGCAGCCAUCAUUUAAAGAAAGCGUAAUAGCUCACUGGUCGAGUCGGCCUGCGCGGAAGAUGUAACGGGGCUAAACCAUGCACCGAAGCUGCGGCAGCGACGCUUAUGCGUUGUUGGGUAGGGGAGCGUUCUGUAAGCCUGUGAAGGUGUGCUGUGAGGCAUGCUGGAGGUAUCAGAAGUGCGAAUGCUGACAUAAGUAACGAUAAAGCGGGUGAAAAGCCCGCUCGCCGGAAGACCAAGGGUUCCUGUCCAACGUUAAUCGGGGCAGGGUGAGUCGACCCCUAAGGCGAGGCCGAAAGGCGUAGUCGAUGGGAAACAGGUUAAUAUUCCUGUACUUGGUGUUACUGCGAAGGGGGGACGGAGAAGGCUAUGUUGGCCGGGCGACGGUUGUCCCGGUUUAAGCGUGUAGGCUGGUUUUCCAGGCAAAUCCGGAAAAUCAAGGCUGAGGCGUGAUGACGAGGCACUACGGUGCUGAAGCAACAAAUGCCCUGCUUCCAGGAAAAGCCUCUAAGCAUCAGGUAACAUCAAAUCGUACCCCAAACCGACACAGGUGGUCAGGUAGAGAAUACCAAGGCGCUUGAGAGAACUCGGGUGAAGGAACUAGGCAAAAUGGUGCCGUAACUUCGGGAGAAGGCACGCUGAUAUGUA